rnacentral:rRNA from 1 species
UACAGAGGGUGCGAGCGUUGUUCGGAAUUAUUGGGCGUAAAGGGCGUGUAGGCGGCCUGUUAAGUCUGAAGUGAAAAUCCAGGGCUCAACCCUGGAACUGCUUCGGAUACUGGUGGGCUUGAGUGCUCUAGAGGGUAGUGGAAUUGCCGGUGUAGCAGUGAAAUGCGUAGAGAUCGGCAGGAACACCAGUGGCGAAGGCGACUGCCUGGGGAGUAACUGACGCUGAGGCGCGAAAGCUGGGGGAGCAAACGGG